GACGAACGCUGGCGGCGUGCCUAAUACAUGCAAGUUGAGCGCUGAAGGUUGGUACUUGUACCAACUGGAUGAGCAGCGAACGGGUGAGUAACGCGUGGGGAAUCUGCCUUUGAGCGGGGGACAACAUUUGGAAACGAAUGCUAAUACCGCAUAAAAACUUUAAACACAAGUUUUAAGUUUGAAAGAUGCAAUUGCAUCACUCAAAGAUGAUCCCGCGUUGUAUUAGCUAGUUGGUGAGGUAAAGGCUCACCAAGGCGAUGAUACAUAGCCGACCUGAGAGGGUGAUCGGCCACAUUGGGACUGAGACACGGCCCAAACUACUACGGGAGGCAGCAGUAGGGAAUCUUCGGCAAUGGACGAAAGUCUGACCGAGCAACGCCGCGUGAGUGAAGAAGGUUUUCGGAUCGUAAAACUCGGUUGGUAGAGAAGAACGUUGGUGAGAGUGGAAAGCUCAUCAAGUGACGGUAACUACCCAGAAAGGGACGGCUAACUACGUG
rnacentral:rRNA from 1 species